CUGGACGGCCAUAGGGGCUUGGAUCACUGGAUCCCAUUUCGAACUCCACCGUUAAGAAAGCCUCCGUUCAUAGGUGUACUGUGUUUUUGCACGGGAAACUAAGAAAGCUGUCCACC
rnacentral:rRNA from 2 species